CUGUUUUAUUCUUUAUUAUUGCUGAAACUCAAGUUUAAUUUCCCUGAAAGCAGAUGGAAUUUAACUCUUCUUUUCUUUCACCGCCGACUGAUGACACCGCUACUGCUGAGCUCGGUUGCUCAGAGCGAACCUGUUCACCCUGGGCCUGGCAGCCGGGCACGAGCCCCACCAUUCCCACCGAGACGCCCGGGGCCCGCCUCGAACGUUGUUAACCGCUACGUCCACUUGCGAUGCCGCCUUCCCCGUCAGCCUUCCGGUAAGACCCCGACCAGCUCCCCCCGGGAGCCACCGCCAACCCCCUCAGCCGGGUCCCCGGGCUGAGAGCCCGCCAGAGGGCGCCCUGCCUCAGCAACGCCCCCCCCCCACCAGGCGCCCGUAUCCUUCCGCCCGCCCCAGGAUGCCCCGCACCUCGCCGCCCCGCCCCUCUGCCCGUUCAGCAGGCAGGCUUCAAAUCAACGCCCGAACAGCCGCAGGAGAGCCGCCGCUCCGGCGGGGCACGGCACGGCGGGGCAAGGUCCCUCCGGCGGGGCGCUCCCCGCCGCGGAGGAAACCCUACGGCCGUCUGCUGCCGCCUCCCCGCGGCGCUGCUCCCCACACCACUGCGGCGGCUGGCGCCGCGGUGCGCACGCAGCGGCCCCGCCCCGAGCACGGUGUGUGGGCGGGGCGGGGCGGCCGGGCGCUCGUUUCCUCCUUGGGCGCCAUUUUGUAGCUCAGAGAAUCCGCAAAUAAAGAGCGGGCGGGAGCGGCGCGCCGGGGAGCCCGGGCGGAGGAGGCCAGGCGAGAGGGGGGGAACGUCGGCGGCGGUGGUGGUGGUUCAGCGGCAGCUGCCCCGGCUCUGGAGCGGCGGUCCUCGCAGAGCUGGUCGCGGAGGUUGGCGGCAAGUGUGAGCGGUGGCGGCGUUUCGCCCUCGAUGUGACGGGUGCGGCCCAGGAGGGUAGUGUGCUGGAAGAGCGAGGCCUCCGCACCGCGGGCGGGAGAGUUCACAAUGACGAAUGAAGAACCUCUCCCAAAGAAGGUUCGCCUUAGCGAAGCAGAUUUUAAGGUUUUACCUAGAGAUGAGCUCAUCCUAAGGUGGAAACAGUAUGAAGCAUACGUGCAAGCUCUGGAGAGCAAGUACACAGACCUUAAUUCUAAUGAUGUGACGGGAUUGAGAGAAUCUGAAGAGAAGCUGAAGCAGCAACAGCAAGAAUCUGCCCGAAGAGAAAAUAUUCUGGUGAUGAGGCUGGCAACCAAGGAACAGGAGAUGCAAGAGUGUACUAAUCAGAUUCAGUACCUCAAGCAAGUCCAGCAGCCUAGUGUUGCCCAACUGCGAUCAACAAUGGUGGACCCAGCCAUCAACUUGUUUUUCCUAAAAAUGAAAGGUGAACUGGAACAGACUAAAGACAAACUGGAACAAGCCCAAAAUGAACUGAGUGCCUGGAAAUUUACGCCUGAUAGGUAAACAAAACAAAUACUCCCCAGUCAAGACUUCCCUGACAGUCCCACUGCGAGAAUGCUAUGGUGGGACAGCCAAGUACUCGUUUCCACACCAAGACUCAGACGUUUUGAGGCAAAAGCCAGAUUCUUAUACUGUCCAGCUUGUAAUGCUUAAUGUAAAACUUACCAGAUGAACCUUGUGUUUCAGCUUUUUUCUCCCCCUUUGCUUCAGAGGCCUGAUGGCGUCGGACUAUUCUGAAGAAAUGGCCAUCUUCGAAAAAAAAAUCUUUUCUAGAACAUGUAGACAUUUGCAAAAUUGUUCUAUUUGAAGAAAAUAGAGGGAGAAACAGAAGUCUUAAGUCUGUGGCACACUGUGUCUACAGACAGUUUGGAGGAGAGAGAACCUAGAGAUUAUAAAUCAUGAAUUGAACAUGUAAAAUUCCCGUAAAAUGUAGAAGUGGAAUAUGCUUCGCUCUUAACCUUGAGCCUAGUGACUUAGAGACACUGUAAGUCAGUUUUGCCAAUAAGACUGUGGACUUCCUGCUUGUUCACUGAACUGCUGGGUCAGAACUCGAUGAGGUGAAUUUUGCGUUAAAGAGUUUACUUGCUAACCACUUUUGAAUAGCCGUGAGAGUGCUAUUUGAUAUCACAACAGUGGUAGUGUACACAUUUGACUGUUUAGCCUUUGGGCUCUUUAGCACUUGAAGGAGCCUUAAGUCAAUGUUGCUAAAUAAUGAACUGUUUCCUGGAUGGUUGGUAAUACUGUGGACGCCUCAAAAUUAGGACUGUACAAAAUGUACGUUCUAUCUAAUCACAGGUUUAAAAUUGUUGGAAGCAAUAUAUCUGAUCACAACUAGCAUAUAGAAGAAAGACUGGUUGUGAUAAGUAUUUCCCUGCAUGUUUUCAUGCAGAAAUGAGAAUUUUUCGAUCUUCUCUACUAAGAACUGAUCUCAGACGCUCAAUACAGAAGGCACACAAUGGCAACUGUCUUCAGUGUUGGUGGGGUGUUUUUAUUCCUUUGUACACCUGGUUUUUUUUUUGUAUUGCACUUCUAUAUAAAAUGUGCCUUGAAAUAGUUGUAAUGCAUAGUUCAAGGAACACUACUGGUUAUACUGUUGUAUUGUGAAACUCCUGGGACGAACGAGAAUUGAACAGGUUGUUAUUUCUGCAUUGUCUCGUUCUCUGAAAACAAAGUCAGUAUUUUAAAAAAACCAAAAAAAAAAACUUAAAUGCAUGCACUUUCCUUGGUGGAAUCAGUGAAGGAGCCUUUGCUACUCUAUUGAUGCCUCUGUUCUGUUGUCCCAAGUUACUUGUAAGAGUAGCAUUCUGGGACAGUUGGGAGUGCAUGUCUGAGGUCUGUAAAGUGAAAUGCAGAUUUGGUAUGGCAUUUGUGUUUGGUUUUUUCCGUAGCUAAUUGAGUUCUAUUUCAUAAUCUGAGGUUUUGAGUUUCAAAACAGUUGGGCAACGUUUCAUGACUCAGUCUUAUUCUAGAAAAUUCAUACUUUUAAAAAAAAACAAGAGACAUCCAGCUGUCACAGAAGGUGGUGUAUUCUAACUGUUUUGAUGACUUCGAUUAAGAUGGCGUUACGUAUUUUUAACUCGGAGGUAUCUUAACUCAGAAGUAUCUUAACUGUUUGUGCUCCAGAUGAUUAAUAUGGGAUCGAAGAGUAGUGUGCUUAUGCAGGUCUAUUUUUUUUGCAUGAUAAUGACUUAAGAGCAAAAGAAAAACCUACAGGAAAACUUUACCUUUUUAGAAGUGAUACAUCUGGAAUGAUUUUGCUAUAGCAGUAUCUAAGAUUUUAAUGAUCUAGCAUCAAACCAGAGGUAAGACUUGCAUUAAUAAAUUGUUAAUGUGUUACCAAGCCAUUUUGUAAAGCUCACUAUAAAGGUAUGCCAUGCAGACUGCUUGUUUAACUUGAAGUUUAGAAAAUUACUUAAUACGUUUAGAUACAGGUUAAUUUGUUUUCUGAAGUCUUAAGGCUCUAAAUAUGUGUGUACAUAUAUUCAUAUAUUACAGAUCUGUGAGGAAAGACAAGUAACCAAUUUUUUUCAAGCAAAAGUAUUAAAAUUUUAUUUCUGUAGCUCCAACAUACCUUAAUAAUCAUCAUAUAAUUUUAAGUCAGUGGUGUGAAUGUGCAUAAUUCAUAUAUGCAGUAGUUGGAGUACAGAAAAUUAGGGUUAUUUCCUGGUUAAUAAUUGAGGCUGUCUUCAUUAACUGCAUUAAGGUUUUGUUGGGUUUUGUCGUUUGUGGAAAGGUAAAGAAGUGAUGACACAUGUAAAGUACUUACAGGAUUUUUCAUUCUUUUUGCAUCCUGCCCCCCCCCCCCCCCAGUGCUUUAUUUGUCCAUCUUGUACGCAACUGCUCUUAUUUCAUGGCAUCUGACCUAGUUUAUGGAAGCGAUGAUGCUCCUAUUCAGAUCCCUGAAUGGUGCUCAGGGUAACAUGUUAACUGCAACCGUGAGCCUCAGCCAUAGAUAAGGAUGUACAGCAUAAUCACUGCUGAUGGCUGGGGGGAGAAAUAAAAGGGCAUGUAAUGAAAGGAGUGGCUGUGCUAAGCCAGUUCAACCAUCAUUAAAUGUAGGUAUACACUUCGAUUAAAAAUCAAUAGAAAUGUCAUUUGCAGUAAGCCUAGUACAACGAACACUAGCCUUCUGAAAUAACCGCUUAUAUUCUUACAGGUUUUGUUGCAUGUAUGUUCAACAAUGCCAAACUUAGUUUUGCAGCUGAUAGUUACUGGAUUUUAUAUUCUUGCAUGUGUUGUCUUUUUUGUAAAUUGCGAGUUGUUGUUACUUGGUGCCGUACUAGUUCAGAACAUCUGGAAAAAUUUUGAUGGGAAGAAAUAGCAUUAUAGGUAACUAUGCAAAUUUCUAUACAGGUAAUAAAUAUUUUACAUUUUGGCAGGCGUUAACAUGAAGAAAUUAAUGGGAUUCUAAAAUUGUCCCAGUUCCAAGGUAACUGGUACUUGGUAAUUCUACAGUUGACAUUGUUUUCUGAAGAGAAAAGUGUUAAAAUGACUUAAGCACUGUGAACUUCUUCAACUUGUAGCGAUGAUGAAUACAGUAACAGGAAUUUGCAAAUGGCUAAAAAUCAUUGCAUGUCUGCCUUAUAACUUUUGGGGUAUGUUACAUUUGAUUAUCUCCAAAGUGGUCCUGCUUUACACAGAAUGAACAUCUCUAAGGAAACUUGCAUCUUAAGUGUGCGAUCUUGGACUGUAUUAGGUCAGCACAUUUUAAACUUCAAGGACCUGGCAUUGGACAUCACAUCAAGAAAGAAAACAGGUUGCUGCCUUUAGCAGAGUUUCAGGCUUCCAGGACUUUACACAGCCAGAUUCCUUCUGGAGCAGCCCAUCUGAAAGAUUUGGGAAAGUCAGUCGGAAACGUUAAAUGGGGCAGAGUUGGCAGACCUUAAAAGUUGUCUAAGGCUUGAAUGCUUAAAAGCCAAACAGGCAAAAAGUUAAUGGCGAAGUGUCGAAUGCUUAUCCAGGAGAAUCAAGAGCUUGGAAGGCAGCUGUCCCAAGGACGCAUUGCACAGCUUGAGGCAGAGUUGGCUUUACAGAAGAAAUAUAGUGAGGAACUUAAAAGCAGUCAGGAUGAAUUGAAUGACUUCAUCAUCCAGCUUGAUGAGGAGGUAGAGGGUAUGCAGAGUACCAUUCUAGUUCUUCAGCAGCAGUUGAAGGAGACUCGCCAGCAGUUGGCGCAGUACCAGCAGCAGCAGUCCCAGGCAUCCAACCCAGGUACCAGCAGGACUCUGUCUUCUGAGCCUACAGACCAGGGAGAGGCUGUGGGUAAAGACUGCAGCCGUCUGGCAAACGGACCAAGCAAUGGUAGCUCCUCCCAUCAGCGGACGUCUGGGCCUGGUUUUUAUAGGGAGGGUAGCGGCACGGAGGAUGACUUCCCGGCUUCUCCAGGGAAUGGUAAUAAGCUGUCCAACCACUCUGAAGAUAGAACUGGUAGAGGAAGUGGUAGCUACAUAAACCAACUCAGUACUGGGUAUGAAAGUGUAGACUCUCCCACUGGCAGUGAAAACUCUCUCACUCACCACUCAAAUGACACAGACUCCAAUCAUGAUCCUCAAGAGGAGAAAACAGUGAGCAUGAAAGGUAACAGAACUACGGGUUCUCGUCAUGUCCAGAAUGGUUUGGACUCCAGUGUAAAUGUGCAGGGUUCAGUUUUGUAACAUUUUUCUGCAACAUUUUUAUACAGUGUCAUUUAAAUUGGGAGAGGAUACUGUCCAGAAGCUGUUUAAAUUAGUGCAUACUUGUCACAAUUUUGCCUUUUUGUGGGUUUCUUUUUGCUUCAAUACCUCUGCCACUUUGGAAAUUUUAACAGUUAAUUACAUUGAAUGUUGCUAAGAGGACGUUUGUGUAGCUCAAGUUAUUUUUAUAUGAGUUAAUGUGAAGUUGAAAUGGAAAUUAUUUCCAUAAAGUAUAACAUAAAUGAUGUCUGUACAAAUCUGUGUAUAUCUAGAACCUGUGCUGUGUAAGGGCAUUCUUACUCAUACUGUUAUACUUACACCACCUUCAAGAUUUGUCAUAAUAGCUGUGGGUUUAUGACUGCCAAGUUUGCCCAGUACAGUAGUUUUAUCACUAAAAGAUGGACUUACUAAAGGAGUCCUGUAGUAGUUUCAGUGUUAAUUACAGUUUUUCCCACCAUACAUCUGUGCAUUUUCUCCUUAGGUGACCGAAUGUUUAUGAAUUGUGUGCAUAGUUACUCAGUUUUUAAGAACUGUUGUAUCCUGUUUAUGCAUAUUGCUCUGUGACUCCAAUAUUAUCUUACCUGUACUGACCAAACCUAAAUAAAAACUUUUAAUAAUGUAA